rnacentral:rRNA from 1 species
CGUAGGGUGCAAGCGUUAAUCGGAAUUACUGGGCGUAAAGCGUGCGCAGGCGGUUAUGCAAGACAGAGGUGAAAUCCCCGGGCUCAACCUGGGAACUGCCUUUGUGACUGCAUAGCUAGAGUACGGUAGAGGGGGAUGGAAUUCCGCGUGUAGCAGUGAAAUGCGUAGAUAUGCAGAGGAACACCGAUGGCGAAGGCAAUCCCCUGGACCUGUACUGACGCUCAUGCACGAAAGCGUGGGGAGCAAACAGGAUUAGAUACCCUGGUAGUCCACGCCCUAAACGAUGUCAACUGGUUGUUGGGAGGGUUUCUUCUCAGUAACGUAGCUAACGCGUGAAGUUGACCGCCUGGGGAGUACGGCCGCAAGGUUG